GUUGUAUGGUUAAGUGACUAAGCGUACACGGUGGAUGCCUUGGCAGUCAGAGGCGAUGAAGGACGUAGUAACUUGCGAUAAGCGUAGAUGAGGCAGUAACAGCCACUUGAGUCUACGAUUUCCGAAUGGGGAAACCCACUGGCAUAAGCCAGUAUCAUUGAGUGAAUACAUAGCUCAAUGAAGCGAACCGGGAGAACUGAAACAUCUAAGUACCCCGAGGAAAAGAAAUCAACCGAGAUUCCGAAAGUAGCGGCGAGCGAAAUUGGAUUAGCCCUUAAGCUUUACAUGUGUUAGACGAACGGUCUGGAAAGUCCGACGAUACAGGGUGAUAGUCCCGUAGUUGACGAUGCAUGUUCAGUGAAAUCGAGUAGGGCGGGACACGUGUUAUCCUGUCUGAAUAUGGGGGGACCAUCCUCCAAGGCUAAAUACUCCUGACUGACCGAUAGUGAACCAGUACCGUGAGGGAAAGGCGAAAAGAACCCCUGUGAGGGGAGUGAAAUAGAACCUGAAACCGUGUACGUACAAGCAGUAGGAGCACCUUCGUGGUGUGACUGCGUACCUUUUGUAUAAUGGGUCAGCGACUUAUAUUCAGUGGCAAGGUUAACCAUCUAGGGGAGCCGUAGGGAAACCGAGUCUUAACUGGGCGCCAUAGUCUCUGGAUAUAGACCCGAAACCGAGUGAUCUAGCCAUGGGCAGGUUGAAGGUUGAGUAACAUCAACUGGAGGACCGAACCGACUAAUGUUGAAAAAUUAGCGGAUGACUUGUGGCUAGGGGUGAAAGGCCAAUCAAACUCGGAGAUAGCUGGUUCUCCCCGAAAGCUAUUUAGGUAGCGCCUCGGACGAAUACUACUGGGGGUAGAGCACUGUUAAGGCUAGGGGGUCAUCCCGACUUACCAACCCUUUGCAAACUCCGAAUACCAGUAAGUACUAUCCGGGAGACACACGGCGGGUGCUAACGUCCGUCGUGGAGAGGGAAACAACCCAGACCGCCAGCUAAGGUCCCAAAUUACAGCUAAGUGGGAAACGAUGUGGGAAGGCUUAGACAGCUAGGAUGUUGGCUUAGAAGCAGCCAUCAUUUAAAGAAAGCGUAAUAGCUCACUAGUCGAGUCGGCCUGCGCGGAAGAUGUAACGGGGCUAAGUUGUAAACCGAA
rnacentral:rRNA from 1 species